rnacentral:rRNA from 1 species
AGUCGAGCGAUGAGGCUCCCUUCGGGGGGUACAUCAGCGGCAGACGGGUGAGUAACACGUAGGUAACCUGCCCUCAAGACGGGGAUAACGCCUGGAAACGGGCGCUAAUACCGGAUGACCUUAGUUGGGGAAGCACCGGCUAAGGAAAGGCAAUAGCGCUUGAGGAUGGGCCUGCGGCCCAUCAGUUAGUUGGUAGGGUAACGGCCUACCAAGGCGAAGACGGGUAGGGGGUGUGAGAGCACGGNCCCCCACACUGGGACUGAGACACGGCCCAGACUCCUACGGGAGGCAGCAGCGGGGAAUAUUGCGCAAUGGACGGAAGUCAGACGCAGCGACGCCGCGUGGGUGAAGAAGGCCUUCGGGUUGUAAAGCCCUUUUCUGUGGGAAGAGGAAGGACGGUACCAUAGGAAUAAGCGUCGGCUAACUACGUGCCAGCAGCCGCGGUAAGACGUAGGACGCGAGCGUUAUCCGGAUUUACUGGGCGUAAAGCGUGUGUAGGCGGCGUGACAAGUUGGGCGUGAAAGCCCCGUGCUCAACGCGGGGAGGCCGCACAAUACUGUCAGGCUAGAGGGCAUCAGAGGGGUGUGGAAUUCCCGGAGUAGCGGUAAAACGCGCAGAUAUCGGGAGGAACACCGGUGGCGAAAGCGGCACCCUGGGGUGCACCUGACGCUGAGAGACGACAGCUAGGGGAGCGAACAGGAUUAGAGACCCUGGUAGUCCUAGCCGUAAACGAUGGAUGCUAGGUGUGGGAGUGAAGAACUUCUGUGCCGCAGCGAACGCGAUAAGCAUCCCGCCUGGGGAGUACGGCCGCAAGGUUAAAACUCAAACGAAUUGACGGGGACCCGCACAAGCAGCGGAGCGUGUGGUUUAAUUCGAUGCUACACGAAGAACCUUACCUGGGAUUGACAUAUGGGUGGUAGUGAGCCGAAAGGCAAGCGACCCUUCGGGGAGCCUAUACAGGUGCUGCAUGGCUGUCGUCAGCUCGUGCCGUGAGGUGUCGGGUUAAGUCCCGUAACGAGCGCAACCCCUGUCCUUAGUUACAAGUGUCUAAGGGGACUGCCGGCGGGAAGCCGGAGGAAGGUGGGGAUGACGUCAAGUCAGCAUGGCCCUUAUAUCCAGGGCGACACACACGCUACAAUGGUCGGUACAGAGGGCAGCGAAGCCGC